rnacentral:rRNA from 1 species
UACGUAGGGCGCGAGCGUUGUCCGGGAUUAUUGGGCGUAAAGAGCUCGUAGGCGGCUUGUCGCGUCGGAUGUGAAAGCCCGGGGCUUAACCCCGGGUCUGCAUUCGAUACGGGCAGGCUAGAGUUCGGUAGGGGAGACUGGAAUUCCUGGUGUAGCGGUGAAAUGCGCAGAUAUCAGGAGGAACACCGGUGGCGAAGGCGGGUCUCUGGGCCGAUACUGACGCUGAGGAGCGAAAGCGUGGGGAGCGAACAGG